GGAAUUGUGCCUGAGUACCUAAGGGCCACUUUGAUAGAGUGACUUACAGGGGUUAAAGUCCCCUCAAUUCCU
rnacentral:tRNA from 1 species